rnacentral:rRNA from 1 species
UACGUAGGGGGCAAGCGUUGGUCCGGAUUCAUUGGGCGUAAGAGCGUGUAGGCGGCCAGAUAGGUCGGUUGUGAAAACUGGAGGCUCAACCUCCAGACGUCGACCGAAACCCUCUGGCUAGAGUCCGGAAGAGGAGAAUGGAAUUCCUGGUGUAGCGGUGAAAUGCGCAGAUAUCAGGAAGAACACCCGUGGCGAAGGCGGUUCUCUGGGACGGUACUGACGCUGAGACGCGAAAGCGUGGGGAGCGAACAGG